CCCGGUCCGACUCCUCCCCCCCGAGUCGGCCGUGGUGACGGCCCCCGCUCUCCCCCCCGGCGGGGGCCGUCUUAU
rfam:Streptomyces thermoautotrophicus strain H1 H1_chromosome, whole genome shotgun sequence.